rnacentral:rRNA from 1 species
CUUGCAAGGGAAACUGUCGGUCUUGGGGCUGGCAGGCGUCGAGGGUACUCCAGGGGUAGCGGUGAAAUGCUAUAAUCCUUGGGGGACCGCCAGUGGCGAAAGCGCUCGACGAGACCAGACCCGACGGUGAGGGACGAAGGCCAGGGGCGCGAACCGGAUUAGAUACCCGGGUAGUCCUGGCUGCAAAGGAUGUGGACUAGGUGCUAGGCGUUCCUCGAGAGCGCCCGGUGCCGAAGGGAAGCCAUUAAGUCCACCGCCUGGGAAGUACGGUCGCAAGACUGAAACUUAAAGAAAUUGGCGGGGGAGCACCACAAGGGGUGGAGCCUGCGGUUUAAUUGGAUUCAACGCCGGACAACUCACCGGGGGCGACGGCAGAGUGGAGGCCAAGCUGACGACUUUGCCGGACUCGCCGAGAGGCGGUGCAUGGCCGCCGCCAGCUCGUAUCGUGAGACGUCCUGUCAAGUCAGGUAACGAGCGAGACCCUCGCCCUUAGUUGCCUUCGGAUUCCGUAAGGAACGCCGGGCACUCUAAGGGGACCGCUGUCGAUAAGACAGAGGAGGGAGAGGGCGACGGUAGGUCCGUAUGCCCCGAAUCCCCCGGGCAACACGCGGGCUACAAUGCGUAGGGCAGAGGGCUGCGACCCCGAGAGGGGAAGCUAAUCCCUAAACCUGCGCUUAGUUCGGAUCGAGGGCUGCAACCCGCCCUCGUGAAGCUGGAAUCCCUAGUAAUCGCGUGUCACUUAUCACGCGG